rnacentral:rRNA from 1 species
UACGAAGGGGGCUAGCGUUGCUCGGAAUUACUGGGCGUAAAGGGCGCGUAGGCGGAUAUUUAAGUUGGGGGUGAAAUCCCGGGGCUCAACCUCGGAAUUGCCUUCAAAACUGGAUAUCUUGAGUUCGGGAGAGGUGAGUGGAACUCCGAGUGUAGAGGUGAAAUUCGUAGAUAUUCGGAAGAACACCAGUGGCGAAGGCGACUCACUGGCCCGAUACUGACGCUGAGACGCGAAAGCGUGGGUAGCAAACAGG